rnacentral:rRNA from 1 species
AGUGAACGCUGGCGGUAGGCCUAACACAUGCAAGUCGAACGGCAGCACAGUAAGAGCUUGCUCUUACGGGUGGCGAGUGGCGGACGGGUGAGGAAUACAUCGGAAUCUACUUUUUCGUGGGGGAUAACGUAGGGAAACUUACGCUAAUACCGCAUACGACCUACGGGUGAAAGCAGGGGAUCUUCAGACCUUGCGCGAUUGAAUGAGCCGAUGUCGGAUUAGCUAGUUGGCGGGGUAAAGGCCCACCAAGGCGACGAUCCGUAGCUGGUCUGAGAGGAUGAUCAGCCACACUGGAACUGAGACACGGUCCAGACUCCUACGGGAGGCAGCAGUGGGGAAUAUUGGACAAUGGGCGCAAGCCUGAUCCAGCCAUACCGCGUGGGUGAAGAAGGCCUUCGGGUUGUAAAGCCCUUUUGUUGGGAAAGAAAAGCAGCAGGUUAAUACCCCGCUGUUCUGACGGUACCCAAUGAAUAAGCACCGGCUAACUUCGUG